UAUUAUCCAGUGGGUAGGGAUUUGUGUAAAAUUAUAAUUUUAAAUGUUUCAUGAGGACCUAGAAAUUUCUAUUUCCUGCCUAAAAAUAGACUUCUCAUGUCUUCUACGGCAAAGGUUUUUAAACAUGGCAAUUAAACAUCAAUUAAAGUGAUUCAAGAUUGUGAAAUGGCUGACUUAAAAACAAUAUUAGCACAUACAGCUGGGAUGCUGGCUUACCUGAAGACAGAGCCAUGGCAUCCAUGAUUUGGAAGUUCAGUGAUUCAAUAAAAUAGAUUUCAUUUACUUGGUAAUUUUAAACAUUUUAAUUGUUUUGAUGUGUGUAGACUUUUACAACAUUUUGUUGCUUCUCUCAGCGAUAUGACCUGAAUUUACCUUUUUCAUGUAGAUGCAUAAUCAAUUUAAUUUCCAGACGAAAAUGGAUAGUCUUUUGGAUUUUCUGCCUAACAUACAGGUCUACAGUGAACCACCCAAUAAUGGUGCUUCAAUAUGAACUUCAUACAGGUUAUAGUCUUCAGAAGGGAUAGUAAUAUAUGGUUGCAGGUAGAAAGAAAGGGACUAGCCAAAUUAUACCAAAAGCCCUGUGUUUCUAGCAGAAAAAAAGCAAAGAAAAAAGUUACCACAAAAAAUAAACUGGAACAUGUGAAGGUAAUUGGUCAAAAAUUUAACAGUAGCACAGACAUGGUAUGAGAAAACACUUAUGAAUAAUUGGGUGUUCAAACAUUUGGCUAAGGAUAAACAUAGAGAAGCAAUCUGAUUAGACAUUUUGCUAUCAGUAUGACAGCAAACAAAUGUUCUUACCAAACACUCUUUUUAGCAUUGUAGAAUUGAUAUAUCCUAUAUUGUCCAUUUUAGGUUAUAUUAUAUUUACUAUGUGUAUUUGAGUGUGUGUGUGUGUGUGUGUGUGUGUGUUUAUUAUAAGACAGAUUAUAUAGAUAGAUGAUAGAUAAAUAAAUACAUCAAUAGAUAAAUAGUUAGAUAAAAAAUCAGGCUGUAAAGUUGAAAACGUUGAGAAAGGACUCUGGGACAUUGGUCUGGGCAAUGAUUUCUUGAGUAAGACCUCAAUAGUACAGGCAACCCAGGCAAAAAUGGACAAAUGGGAUCACAUCAAGCUAAAAAGCUUCUACACAGCAAAGGAAAUGUUCAAUAUGCAAAGAGACAACUUACAGAGUGGGAGAAAAUAUUUGCAAACUACUCAUCUGACAAAGAAUUAA
rnacentral:lncRNA from 10 species